GUGGGGAAUUUUGGACAAUGGGCGCAAGCCUGAUCCAGCAAUGCCGCGUGCAGGAAGAAGGCCUUCGGGUUGUAAACUGCUUUUGUACGGAACGAAAAGGCUCUGGUUAAUACCUGGGGCUCAUGACGGUACCGUAAGAAUAAGCACCGGCUAACUACGUGCCAGCAGCCGCGGUAAUACGUAGGGUGCAAGCGUUAAUCGGAAUUACUGGGCGUAAAGCGUGCGCAGGCGGUUUUGUAAGACAGACGUGAAAUCCCCGGGCUCAACCUGGGAAUGGCGUUUGUGACUGCAAAGCUGGAGUGCGGCAGAAGGGGAUGGAAUUCCGCGUGUAGCAGUGAAAUGCGUAGAUAUGCGGAGGAACACCGAUGGCGAAGGCAAUCCCCUGGGCCUACACUGACGCUCAUGCACGAAAGCGUGGGGAGCAAACAGGAUUAGAAACCCGAGUAGUCC
rnacentral:rRNA from 1 species